UCUGUAUACAUGGUCGGGAAGCACCCUCGUCAUGCACGGGGGUGAUGUUAGCACCUGCCCCACAGGGUGUGGAGGUGGAAGGAGUCAAUGAAGGUGAAGUGUUUAGAGCUUUCCUCACAACAGGUCAGUGCCAGAGGAGGGCACACUCCUGUCACCACCUGAGUGGUUGGACAGUGGCCCCCAAAACGUGCAAUCCCUGGGCCUGUGACCUUGAUUAGAAAAAGGGUCACCACCGGGUCUCUGCGAGGACUGAAGCUCGGUGCACCCUACCUCUGCCCAUCUCCACUGAAGGGACUCAUACUGCUUUGUCCCUCCAGUUUGGCCAGGCUCCUGGCCCAGACCCACACUCUGAGAGAUGAUGUGGUUCAGACAUCUCACAAUACCUAGGCCAGGAGGGGCCCUCCAGCUGUCAUGGCCCCAGAGUCCUGCAACGAGGAAGCUCAAAGGCCGAUAUACCUCUGGGACCAACAAGCACAGGUGACAUGGGACAGACCAUCCUGCCACACUCAGGCUAGCCAGAACUCAAGGAGCUCACGGCAGAGGGGGAAGGACUGUGCUGGCCAGAGGUGAGACAAUCGCGCCAGGACGGAGCAGAUUCAACCCAGGAAGGACAAGGAGAAGCCAGUGGCACUUUGGAAAGACUGUGGGGGCCAGGGGAGCUAGGAGAUGACUGGAUGCCAGCCACCAGCUGUGUGACUCUAAGUGGCCUGGUCACUCUGAGCCUCUGUCCCCCCCUUGGUAAAUGGAGGCCAGGCACUGUUUCAGAACUUGAGGGGUAUUCCCCCGCCCUGGGAACCCUGCCUCAACUAGGGCUCCUCGCAUUUGUCAGCCGAGGAAACUCAGGGACAGAGUNGUGUGACUCUAAGUGGCCUGGUCACUCUGAGCCUCUGUCCCCCCCUUGGUAAAUGGAGGUCAGGCACUGUUUCAGAACUUGAGGGGUAUUCCCCCGCCCUGGGAACCCUGCCUCAACUAGGGCUCCUCGCAUUUGUCAGCCGAGGAAACUCAGGGACAGAGUCUCCCAAACAGAGGUGAAGUCUGCCUCCCUCCAGAUCCCAUAGCACCCCUCAAGCCUCUUCUGCACCCUGAGCCCCCUGGCCUGUGCAUGUCGGCAAGGGUCCACCUCUGGCUCCUACAACAGACGGAACCGCAUCUGAGCCAACUCUGGAUCUGCGGGCGAUCAGGUCUGGCUGGAACCCACAGCAGACCUGGGCGGUCCCAAGAGCACAGAAGGGAGCAGGGGAGAAGAAUCCCACCCUCACAUGCAUGCACACGUGGAGCAUGCUGGGGAGAGGGACAGCAGAGCCCUGGACGUGGCUGGCAGAGGGAGGCAAUCGGGAGACAGGACAGAAAACUUCACAGACCCCCAAAGCAAAGCAGGAAAAAUUGUUUCCAGAGAGCUUGGAGCUGGCCUUCUGCCCCUACAGUGCUGUCACUUCACGGGUCUACAGGUCUCCCUGAAGACGGAGUCAGAGGGGUGGCCUGGGCCACGGGGGCCUGCCGGACAAGAUCUCACCAAGCCAGCCUUGGCGUCCCCUGACUGCCCUGCUCCUGGGGAGGGCGACUAAGGAAACUGGUCUAAUAUGGUCAGCAGCACGAGCCCCAGAUGCCCCACUGCUCAUUAGGAGAGCCCAGAAGGUGUGGCCCUUAAAACCAGCUGGCUGUGCCCGUCACAAGUGGGGCUCUGCCUACUGGACCCAGGGCUGGCUGAGCCCACACAUGGAAAGCUCCCGGGCUGCUCAGAAGGAAGUGCAUUGGCAAGUCAGCUGGGCCUCUGAAUUCCUCUUUUCUCCCUUUAUUAUAAACAAGAAAUUUUAGCACGAGAUCUACCCUUUAUUCAGGGCACAGCACAAUCGUAUUAGCUGCAGGCACAAGGUUGUACCGCGGAUCUCUAGAACUUAUUCAUCUUGGAUAAUUGAGACUUUAUGUCCAUUGAUUGGCUGCUCCCCAUUUCCCCUCCCCCAACCCAGCAGUCGCCCUUCUACUCUCUGUGUCUAUGGGUUUGACUGUAGUGGAAACCUCACGUAAGUGGCAU
rnacentral:lncRNA from 1 species